rnacentral:rRNA from 1 species
AACCAGCACCUCAAGUGGUCAGGAUGAUUAUUGGGCCUAAAGCAUCCGUAGCCUGUUCUAUAAGUUUUCGGUUAAAUCCAUAUGCUCAACAUAUAGGCCGCCGGAAAUACUGUAGAACUAGGGAGUGGGAGAGGUAGACGGUACUCGAUAGGAAGAGGUAAAAUUCUUUGAUCUAUUGAUGACCACCUGUGGCGAAGGCGGUCUACCAGAACACGUUCGACGGUGAGGGAUGAAAGCUGGGGGAGCAAACCGG